rnacentral:rRNA from 1 species
CGAACGGGAAAUAUUUCAUUGAGACUUCGGUGGAUUUGAUCUAUUUCUAGUGGCGGACGGGUGAGUAACGCGUGGGUAACCUGCCUUAUACAGGGGGAUAACAGUCAGAAAUGGCUGCUAAUACCGCAUAAGCGCACAGAGCUGCAUGGCUCAGUGUGAAAAACUCCGGUGGUAUAAGAUGGACCCGCGUUGGAUUAGCUAGUUGGUGGGGUAACGGCCCACCAAGGCGACGAUCCAUAGCCGGCCUGAGAGGGUGAACGGCCACAUUGGGACUGAGACACGGCCCAGACUCCUACGGGAGGCAGCAGUGGGGAAUAUUGCACAAUGGGGGAAACCCUGAUGCAGCGACGCCGCGUGAAGGAAGAAGUAUCUCGGUAUGUAAACUUCUAUCAGCAGGGAAGAUAGUGACGGUACCUGACUAAGAAGCCCCGGCUAACUACGUGCCAGCAGCCGCGGUAAUACGUAGGGGGCAAGCGUUAUCCGGAUUUACUGGGUGUAAAGGGAGCGUAGACGGAAUGGCAAGUCUGAUGUGAAAGGCCGGGGCUCAACCCCGGGACUGCAUUGGAAACUGUCAAUCUAGAGUACCGGAGGGGUAAGUGGAAUUCCUAGUGUAGCGGUGAAAUGCGUAGAUAUUAGGAGGAACACCAGUGGCGAAGGCG